rnacentral:rRNA from 1 species
AGUGGACGCUGGCGGUAGGCCUAACACAUGCAAGUCGAACGGCAGCACAGUAAGAGCUUGCUCUUACGGGUGGCGAGUGGCGGACGGGUGAGGAAUACAUCGGAAUCUACUUUUUCGUGGGGGAUAACGUAGGGAAACUUACGCUAAUACCGCAUACGACCUACGGGUGAAAGCAGGGGAUCUUCGGACCUUGCGCGAUUGAAUGAGCCGAUGUCGGAUUAGCUAGUUGGCGGGGUAAAGGCCCACCAAGGCGACGAUCCGUAGCUGGUCUGAGAGGAUGAUCAGCCACACUGGAACUGAGACACGGUCCAGACUCCUACGGGAGGCAGCAGUGGGGAAUAUUGGACAAUGGGCGCAAGCCUGAUCCAGCCAUACCGCGUGGGUGAAGAAGGCCUUCGGGUUGUAAAGCCCUUUUGUUGGGAAAGAAAAGCAGCAGAUUAAUACCCCGCUGUUCUGACGGUACCCAAAGAAUAAGCACCGGCUAACUUCGUG